rnacentral:rRNA from 1 species
UUAAUCAAGAACGAAAGUUAGAGGUUCGAAGGCGAUCAGAUACCGCCCUAGUUCUAACCGUAAACUAUGCCUACUAGGUGUAUGAAUUAUUAGUUAUAAUAAUUUAUGCACCUUCUCGGAAACGAAAGUCUUUCGGUUCCGGGGGAAGUAUGGNUGCNAAGCUGAAACUUAAAGGAAUUGACGGAAGGGCACCACCAGGAGUGGAGCCUGCGGCUUAAUUUGACUCAACACGGGAAAACUCACCCGGGCCGGACACUAUAAGGAUUGACAGAUUGAUAGCUCUUUCAUGAUUUAGUGGUUGGUGGUGCAUGGCCGUUCUUAGUUCGUGGAUAUGAUUUGUCUGGUUGAUUCCGAUAACGAGCGAGACUUUUAUGUUAUAUUAAAUAAUAUUAUUGUUAAAUUUUAUUUUUAUNUAANAUUUNNUUU